rnacentral:rRNA from 1 species
UCCGGUGGUUAUAGCGUGGGGAACUCGCCCGUCCUAUCUGAACCCGGUAGCUAAGACCCACAGCGCUACUGGCACCGGCACUCGGUAGGUGUGGGAGAGUAAGUCACCGCCGGAA